rnacentral:rRNA from 1 species
CUCCUUUAGAGUUUGAUCCUGGCUCAGGACGAACGCUGGCGGCGUGCUUAACACAUGCAAGUCGAACGAUGAAGCCCUUCGGGGUGGAUUAGUGGCGAACGGGUGAGUAACACGUGGGCAAUCUGCCCUUCACUCUGGGACAAGCCCUGGAAACGGGGUCUAAUACCGGAUACUACUCCUGCCCGCAUGGGUGGGGGUUGAAAGCUCCGGCGGUGAAGGAUGAGCCCGCGGCCUAUCAGCUUGUUGGUGGGGUAAUGGCCCACCAAGGCGACGACGGGUAGCCGGCCUGAGAGGGCGACCGGCCACACUGGGACUGAGACACGGCCCAGACUCCUACGGGAGGCAGCAGUGGGGAAUAUUGCACAAUGGGCGAAAGCCUGAUGCAGCGACGCCGCGUGAGGGAUGACGGCCUUCGGGUUGUAAACCUCUUUCAGCAGGGAAGAAGCGAAA